rnacentral:rRNA from 1 species
CAAUAGCGUAUAUUAAAGUUGUUGCAGUUAAAAAGCUCGUAGUUGAAUUUUGGGGCGAAGUGUGCCGGUCCGCCGAGAUGGUGUGUACUUGCAUGCUCGUUCUUUCCUGUUGGAAUCUCGUCGAUGCUCUUAAUUGAGUGUCGGUUUGCGUUGCUCUCGGGCAGCGUGGCGCAGUAUGCGUCCUUCGGGGUGUGUGCUGUGGAGGUCCAGCUCGUUUACUGUGAAUAAAUUAGAGUGUUCAAAGCAGGCUUAGGCUUGAAUACGUUAGCAUGGGAUAAUGGAAUAGGACUUUGGUUCUAUUUUGUUGGUUUCUAGGACUAAAGUAAUGAUUAAUAGGGAUAGUUGGGGGCAUUAAUAUUUAAUUGUCAGAGGUGAAAUUCUUGGAUUUAUGAAAGAUUAACUUCAGCGAAAGCAUUUGUCAAGGAUGUUUUCAUUAA